GAUGAAGAACGUAGCGAAAUGCGAUAAGUAAUGUGAAUUGCAGAAUUCAGUGAAUCAUCGAAUCUUUGAACGCACAUUGCGCCCGCUAGUAUUCUGGCGGGCAUGCCUGUCCGAGCGUCAUUUCAACCCUCAAGCCCCCGGGCUUGGUGUUGGGGAUCGGCGAGCCUCCGCGCCCGCCGUCCCCUAAAUCUAGUGGCGGUCUCGCUGUAGCUUCCUCUGCGUAGUAGCACACCUCGCACUGGGAAACCGCGCGGCCACGCCGUUAAACCCCCAACUUCUGAACGUUUGACCUCGGAUCAGGUAGGAAUACCCGCUGAACUUAAGCAUAUCAAUAAGCGGAGGA
rnacentral:misc_RNA from 1 species